rfam:Schistosoma rodhaini strain Burundi genome assembly, scaffold: SROB_scaffold0007129
AUCCGGCUGACGAGUCCCAAAUAGGACGAAAAGCACAUCAAACUGGAU